rnacentral:rRNA from 1 species
UGGGGAAUAUUGCACAAUGGGCGCAAGCCUGAUGCAGCCAUGCCGCGUGUGUGAAGAAGGCCUUCGGGUUGUAAAGCACUUUCAGCGGGGAGGAAGGCGAUAAGGUUAAUAACCUUGUCGAUUGACGUUACCCGCAGAAGAAGCACCGGCUAACUCCGUGCCAGCAGCCGCGGUAAUACGGAGGGUGCAAGCGUUAAUCGGAAUUACUGGGCGUAAAGCGCACGCAGGUGGUCUGUCAAGUCGGAUGUGAAAUCCCCGGGCUCAACCUGGGAACUGCAUUCGAAACUGGCAGGCUAGAGUCUUGUAGAGGGGGGUAGAAUUCCAGGUGUAGCGGUGAAAUGCGUAGAGAUCUGGAGGAAUACCGGUGGCGAAGGCGGCCCCCUGGACAAAGACUGACGCUCAGGUGCGAAAGCGUGGGGAGCAAACAGG